AUAUCUUGACGCUGCUUUAAAAGUACUUCCAUGGCCUUAUCCGCCUCAUCCGCCAUUUUAGCCAACCGGGAGGCUUUUGCGUCCUGGUCAUCUCGGUAUCGAGUUCUAGGCGAGGUGCCUUCUACUCGUUUCCGACCAUGGCCAGACCCCUUCUCCGUCGGGUAUACUAGCUUACGCUUUGCUUUGCCUAUUGCCUUCGGUCGAGAAUGUUCAGGUGACCGUUUAGACGCCGUGCUAGCAUGCACACUUAUGGUUAGUCCCAAACGAUCCUUAGCAGAUACUCGCGGUAAUGACUCACUGACAGACAUCGGCUGUCCUUCGGGUGUAGGUGUUCUACUCUUUCCCAUGAAAAAUGAAUAGAAUAAAACACACUCUGUGAUUGAAAAAUACUCAAGACACUAAAACUAAAAGCCCUCCUUCUAGCGCCAAUGUUAACGCCAAGAUCUUUCUC
rnacentral:lncRNA from 1 species